rnacentral:rRNA from 1 species
AACGAACGCUGGCGGCAGGCUUAACACAUGCAAGUCGAACGCCCCGCAAGGGGAGUGGCAGACGGGUGAGUAACGCGUGGGAAAGUACCUUUCAGUUCGGAGUAAAUCAGGGAAACUUGUGCUAAUACCGGAUACGCUCGCGAGCGGACAGAUUUAUCGCUGAGAGAUCGGCGCGCGUUGGAUUAGCUAGUUGGUGGGGUAAUGGGCUACCAAGGCGACGAUCCAUAGCUGGUCUGAGAGGAUGAUCAGCCACACUGGGACGGAGACACGGCCCAGACUCCUACGGGAGGCAGCAGUGGGGAAUAUUGGACAAUGGGCGAAAGCCUGAUCCAGCCAUGCCGCGUGAGUGAUGAAGGCCCUAGGGUUGUAAAGCUCUUUCACCGAUGAAGAUAAUGACGGUAGUCGGAGAAGAAGCCCCGGCUAACUUCGUGCCAGCAGCCGCGGUAA